GCCGACGUGGUGGAAUUGGUAGACACGCCGUCUUGAGGGGGCGGUGGCGAAAGCCGUAUGAGUUCGAGUCUCAUCGUCGGCACCA
rnacentral:tRNA from 5 species